CUACAUAUCAAACUUAAACUGAAGAGUUUGAUCAUGGCUCAGAUUGAACGCUGGCGGCAGGCCUAAUACAUGCAAGUCGGGCGGAAACGAUGGAGCUUGCUCCAGGCGUCGAGCGGCGGACGGGUGAGUAACGCGUAGGAAUCUGCCCAGUAGAGGGGGAUAGCCCGGGGAAACUCGGAUUAAUACCGCAUACGCCCUACGGGGGAAAGCAGGGGAUCUUCGGACCUUGCGCUAUUGGAUGAGCCUGCGUUGGAUUAGCUUGUUGGUGGGGUAAAGGCCUACCAAGGCGACGAUCCAUAGCUGGUCUGAGAGGAUGAUCAGCCACACUGGGACUGAGACACGGCCCAGACUCCUACGGGAGGCAGCAGUAGGGAAUAUUGGACAAUGGGGGCAACCC
rnacentral:rRNA from 1 species